rnacentral:rRNA from 1 species
AGUGAACGCUGGCGGCAGGCCUAACACAUGCAAGUCGAGCGGCAGCGGGUCCCCGCGAGGGGAUGCCGGCGAGCGGCGGACGGGUGAGGAACACAUCGGAAUCUGCCUGGUUGUGGGGGAUAACGUAGGGAAACUUACGCUAAUACCGCAUGCGACCCUGAGUCGACGGACUGGGGGUGAAAGUGAGGGACCUUCGGGCCUCACGCGACCAGAUGAGCCGAUGUCGGAUUAGCUAGUUGGCGGGGUAACGGCCCGCC